UGUGAUCCAACCUAUACUGAUAUAAAAAUUGAAAAUUUAGAGAAGAGCCCAUAUGUUCAACAACAACAACAACAACAAAAAUCCAGUGUGAUCCCACAAGUGAGGUCUGGGGAGGGUAAUGUGUAUUCAGACCUUACCACCUUGAAGGUAGAGAAGCCGUUUCCAUAGACCCUCGAGUCAGUAAAAGCAUAGAAGAGCCAAUUUGUUCAAUCAUGAAGGAAAAGCUGAUGAUCCAGCAAUUUAGAAAGUAACCCUGAAAAGACUAGUGCCAGAUUUAGCAUAUAGCCCACAGGUUCAACUGCACUAGUAAUUUUUUACGGUGGAGCAUAUUUAUAUGCAUAAAAAAACACAAAUUUUUUCUAAAGUUCAAAAUUUGAGCUCAUAAUGGGUUCAACUGCAAAAUUACAAAUGGUUGAGCCCAUUAAUUUUAAAUCUUGAAUUCGCCUUUAGACAAGACAACCUAUAACAAACCAAAACAAGGUCCAGUAAAAAAAGGCAGCCCGACGCACUAAGGUCCCGCUAUGCGCAGGUCCGCGAAAAGGCCGGAUCACAAAUAUCUAUUAUACGCAGGCUUAUCCUGCAUUUCUAUAAAAGGUUGUUUCCUUAUCAGCAACUUUACCAGCUACGUUAAGGCUCUCCUUUCAAAACAAGGACCUGUCCAAAUAUAUAUCAAAAAUAUUGAUGAAUUAACCAUUACAAAGAACUCCAAAAAUUCGGAACUGCCCACAAACUCCAAAUAAUGAAUAAGCCAAUAUGCUAGAUUGACAAGUCAACUAUAUAAAGAAAAUUCAUGGAAAGAUCAAAGCUUUAGCAUUACCUAUAGGCUUUUGUGCAUCACUUGUUCAAAAUGCUAGAGACCCGACAUCCCAGAAGAGCAAAGACAACUAAGAUUGUCAAGUGAUUCCUUUUGAUGAUGAUACAGAAAAAAUCAUGGAAUCUUGAAAUGGGAAGUUUAAAGCAAAGAUUCUUAUAUAUAAAAACUACAAGCUCCUACUUUUUUCCAAGAAUGGAUCUAUAUGCAAGAUUUG
rnacentral:lncRNA from 1 species